UGUACACAACACGCGGUUAGGUCUUACUGC
rnacentral:piRNA from 1 species